GGAAUGCGUGGGCCUGGUGGCCCGGCCGGUCUUCAAAACCGGUUUGCGGGCGCGGUCGCGUCCGUGGCGGUUCGAUUCCCCCGCAUUCC
rnacentral:tRNA from 2 species